CACAUGCAGUCGAGGGGCAGCAUUUUAGUUUGCUUGCAAACUAAAGAUGGCGACCGGCGCACGGGUGAGUAACACGUAUCCAACCUGCCGAUAACUCGGGGAUAGCCUUUCGAAAGAAAGAUUAAUAUCCGAUAGUAUAUUAAAACCGCAUGGUUUUACUAUUAAAGAAUUUCGGUUAUCGAUGGGGAUGCGUUCCAUUAGUUUGUUGGCGGGGUAACGGCCCACCAAGACUACGAUGGAUAGGGGUUCUGAGAGGAAGGUCCCCCACAUUGGAACUGAGACACGGUCCAAACUCCUACGGGAGGCAGCAGUGAGGAAUAUUGGUCAAUGGACGAGAGUCUGAACCAGCCAAGUAGCGUGAAGGAUGACUGCCCUAUGGGUUGUAAACUUCUUUUAUAUGGGAAUAAAGUUUUCCACGUGUGGAAUUUUGUAUGUACUAUAUGAAUAAGGAUCGGCUAACUCCGUGCCAGCAGCCGCGGUAAUACGGAGGAUCCGAGCGUUAUCCGGAUUUAUUGGGUUUAAAGGGAGCGUAGGUGGAUUG
rnacentral:rRNA from 1 species